GUCUAUGGCCAUGCUACCCUGAACAAGCUCGAUCCCAUUUGAUCUCAGAAGCUAAGUAGAGUCAGGCUUUAUUAGUACUUGGAUGGAGGACUGCCUAGGAAGACCAGGUGCUGUAGGCA
ensembl:rRNA 5S_rRNA 5S ribosomal RNA